UGUUGUACUCAUUCAAAAAUUCCGGUAUUUUGCAAACCCUAACCCAUGUUCUUCUUCUUCUUCAGCCACACCGUACCCUAACCCCCGUUCUUCUUCAGCGACCCCUAACCCCUGUUCUUCUUCUUCUUCAGCAACCGGCCGGCCACAGUGAAGCAGGUGGGACGAUUUCAGCUUGUUGUAAUUUGCACGAUUGUUCUUCAUCCCGCAUUUUGUGUUGUAUUGACGAUUGUUCUUCAUCCUCCAUUAUUGGCCAUUGUUCUUCAUAACAGUUGUUGUCCUUCAUAACGACCAUUGUUCUUCAUAACGGCCGGCCACAGUGAAGCAGUUGUUGUCCUCCAAAUCAGUGUGGACGAUUUGGCCUUCCAAAACGGUGUUGUAUUUUGGACGAAAUCAAUUCUUCAUCCCGCAGCACUGAUUUUCUUCCAAAUCAGUUAGGUUUUUGGUACCAUCAGCAUUGGUACCAUCCGACCUCAUAUGGUGUAGGCCCGGACUCAUGAUCAAUAUGCAAAUGCUAAUGGUGAUGCAAUGAGAGGGAACUUGUGUUAUUGUUCCUGAAUUGAAGUGUGUUUUUGAUAUUGGGAGGUGCCCUUUGCAUGCUGUUCAUCAAAAUUUUGUCUUUAUUACUCAUGCUCAUCUUGAUCAUAUUAUUUUUGCAGCUGAUGUUCAUAUUAUGGCCAACAAAUCAUCUUUUGCGAAGGUCUUGGUGCUAGAGUGGAAAUUGCAACAUAAUAAAAACAAUUCUGCAGGCCUUCAACGUGUAUGUGAAUAUUGAUCAAAUUAAGCACAUAUGUUGCUUGGACUUUUUUGACCAAGCUACAAAAACUUAAGGUCAAAGCUAAAUCACUGAAUGUAUGUGCGUAUAUGAAUAUCAAAUGCUAAUACUUUUGUGGAUAUGAUUGAUUUGGUAUGAUAUUCAUUAGUAAUUAUGUAUGUUUGAUGAAUUUAAUAUAGUAUGGAAAAUAAAUACAUUUUCAACGCAUGUAAAUGUCUAAAGCAUAUAUCUAGAUAUCAAGGGCUUUAAAGGGUU